AGGUCAGCACAGGGCUCGAGACAAAGAGAAAUGCAUCCUGAUUUCUCUGCAGCUUUCUGUCAGACUCCAAGUUGCUGAUGACAUAGUUUCAGCCGUUUGUGAAAAACGGGUUUGGGCACACACAAGGGAAGCUCUUCACUAAUCCAGGACUGCUGGUGUGAAUGCAAGAGUCUGUUUACAAUACGGCCUCACACUCCCAAAGUAAGCUAUGUUAACCAGAAACCCAGGAAAACACUGAUGUUGGCUAGCCCGGAAGAUGAUUCACAUCCCCAGAGUGAAAACUACUGCUUAUCCACUCUCAUCUCCAGGCCACAUGCUACUGCAGUCACGUUUCAGUAUUGAUUCAAAAUAUCACUUGCCUCUUUCAUGUGGUUUCCUCCCCAAGAUUUAUCUUCUCAGAAAGGUCAGUUUUGCACCAUAUCUAAGUAUUUCUGAAACUCUGUCUUUCUACCUGGCCGUGAUAUAUUUUUCCUUGUUUAUUUUGCCUCAUGAUGUCUUAUCAAUAAAAACCAAUAGCCCCUGGAAGAGACCUGGCUUGAAGUGGUACAGAGUAGUCAAGCGCUCGUCUAAGGACAUUUUCAUGCAACAGCUCUUUGAGUGUGCUCUGCAGUCCAGGACCGUCGGCAUCCCCUAGAAGAAGUGCAGAAUCUCAACACCUAUCCAGACUUACAGAAUCGAAAUCUCCAUUUUAACAAGAUCCCAAGGUGAUUCAUGUCGUUGGAAUAACUUCCUAAGCCCAAGAUGGAGCUGCUCCUGCCUGGGGUACUGUGUCAGCACUUAAACCUAGAUAACUUUCAUGUCCCUGUAAAUAUUCUGCUUGACCAGAAAUGUAGGAUAUUCUGUCAGCCAACCCCCAAAUGCCAAGCCAACCCUGGGCUUACUUGCUUGCCCCUUCUCACCCCAAACGAGGUUGACCAUACGGCCGCAGCCAAUCAGAUUUUCUCUAUUUUUCUCUUCCAAUUCUUCAUUCUUUACCCUAAGAAACCUUCCUUGCUUCUGCCCUAUUUUGCUAUACUCUCUGGAUGGAGACUGUCCACUUCAUGAAGUGUUAAAUACAGGUUCUUUGUAUCACCUCAA